UCAAACUUGGUCAUUUAGAGGAAGUAAAAGUCGUAACAAGGUUUCCGUAGGUGAACCUGCGGAAGGAUCAUUAUUGAAAAAUCCUAAGGUUUUUUUUUCUUCCAAAGUUGAUCGACGCCUCUCCGGCGUUCUUUCUCCUUUGAAAGAAGAAAAAACCCUUCGAUAUCCUCAUUCACCCUGUGUGCACUCAUUUGGAACCGAAUCUUUUUUAAAUUUGGUUCCCAAACAUUUUUCCACAAGCUUUAAUGUUUGUCUGAAAGUCUUUUUUUAUGAUAAAUACAACUUUCAACAACGGAUCUCUUGGCUCUCGCAUCGAUGAAGAACGCAGC
rnacentral:misc_RNA from 1 species